AACGAACGCUGGCGGCGUGUUUAAGACAUGCAAGUCGCACGGGACUAUUUGAGUAGCAAUACAAGAAUAGUUUAGUGGCGCACGGGUGAGUAACACGUGAAUUACAUGCCCUGCAGAGGGGGAUAGCCCAGGGAAACUUGGAUUAAUACCCCAUGGUAUCGCAAGAUUAAAGGUGGCCGCAAGGCUGUCGCUGCAGGAUUGGUUCGCGCCCUAUCAGCUUGUUGGUGAGGUAACGGCUCACCAAGGCUACGACGGGUACCUGGUCUGAGAGGACGAUCAGGCACACUGGAACUGAGACACGGUCCAGACACCUCCGGGUGGCAGCAGUCGAGAAUAAUUCACAAUGGGGGCAACCCUGAUGGUGCAACGCCGCGUGGAGGAUGAAGGUCUUCGGAUUGUAAACUCCUGUCAUCCGGGAGUAAGACUUGGCGAUGAAUAGUCGACAGGGUUGAUAGUACCGGAAGAGGAAGGGACGGCUAACUUCGUGCCAGCCGCCGCAGUAA
rnacentral:rRNA from 1 species